GGAUCCAGUGCGCUGAGCCCACAACGACCAACGUCUUCGCCAUCAUCGGAACCCGAGUGCCAACUCUCCGCGCCCCGUUCCCUUUUAGAGGAUACGCCUGCUCGAGACACGUGACUUCGACUGACCAUCCGGAGAGAACUGAUCCCUCUCAAAGACGGUGACACACAGCACAUCCUGCUCCAGGUCUUUGAUGAAGAACUGGCAGUUGGAGUUCCACUUGGGGUUCAGGGUGUCCUGCAUCGUCUUGGUGAUGUGGCACUGAGAGGCCAUGGUUACCUCACAGUACGGGUUACUCUUCCCUGGACAUUUAGAUACACAUACAUUUAGAUACACAGCAGGCAAAUACCCAUCAAGCAGUGGAAGAUACCUUUCACAGACCACGGGUUGGGCUAGAACACGUACGACCAGGGCACAGGCUUACCAUGAGAACGGCAGGGUUUCAGCUCGAUGCCCUCCACAAUGUUCACCAUCAGUCGGCCAAUACCAGUGGCCCUCUGAGACCGUACUGGGAACAGAGACACAGUAGUUAGAGAUACCCCCUGGAAAAUGGAUGCUUUCAAUGUGCAUCAUGUUCCUACUAACUCUCACAUCACACCAGUACAGCAAGUGACACUCUUCAUUACCAUGAUCUCCAUUAUCUGUCCUCAUUCGUUCAGGCCGGGUUACCGUUUGGCCCAUGCAUUAAAAUGUAUAUCUGCAUGCCUUUGUGUGGCACGCCUACCCAGAUAUGCCUUCUCUCUUUUCUUUUUCUCAGUCUCAAUGUAGAGCUCGGAGGCGGCCUUGAUCUUCUGCACCCAGGCCGUCCUGCAUGUCAGACACCCACAAGCAGCACCAAUAAGCUUUUGCGUGUAAACCCUGUCGAUGUGGGAGAUGUGGAACACUGGCUCGUCCCCGGAUGGGUCGGUCGGCAGCUUCACCAGUACCUCAUUCAAGAAAAUGGGCUACAGAGAGACAUGGGUACACAGUGCACACCAGGUGAACUGUGACAAGGAUGGAAAUAUCGAGUGUAUGGGAAAGUGCGCAGAUAAACAGGUGAGGGAUCUGUGCUUGUUACGAGUUUGAAUCCCAUGUCUGGCAAAGUAACCAUAUGACCACUGGGCCCUUGAAGGGUCUUAAUCCCAGCUUGCUGGUUGACCUUCUCUGCGCUAAAGCUUUCCUCAUUUGUACAACACUUUUGGGCAAAAGUGUCUAUUAUUUAAUUACAGUCAUGCAUCUCUUAACGAUAGGGGUACAUUCUGAGAAAUGCAUUGUUAGGUGAUUUUGUCGUUGCGUGUACUUACGCAAACCUUGGAAUUUGUGAUACAUGUGGUCUAUCACUGACUGAAACAUUGUUAGGUGCAAGACUGUAAUGUAAUGAAAAUUUCACAUACGAGUAUUUCAUGCAUAAAACCGAAAUUGAACUGUUUUAGCUUUAAGUAAAUUUAAAUGUAUUAAAACAUGUGAUUUUUUUCCUUAAGGAACCCAAGUGUACACAGAGUACAUUCCACAGAGUAGAUAGAAGAUUACUGAGAGUGUGCAGCAACACGAAGCGUUCAUUACACCACAGAGUAUGGACAACAAGAAAGUGAGACUUGGGGCUGAAGACCUUUUCUGACCCCGAGGAGCCCAGUGGCUUGAUGAUCUGAGUGAGCAGCAGGAAGUCGUUGAAGAGAAAACCAUACAGCUCUUUAUUGCUCUUGGCCUUGUAGAGCUUUCCGCUGUG